rnacentral:rRNA from 1 species
AACGAACGCUGGCGGCGUGGAUAAGACAUGCAAGUCGAACGGGACAGGUAGCAAUAUCUGUCUAGUGGCGAACGGGUGCGUAACACGUGGGCAACAUGCCUGGAAGAGCGGGAUAGCCCGGGGAAACUCGGAUUAAUACCGCAUGUGACAACGGGGCGGCUUCGCCCUGUUUUCAAAGGUGGGGACCGCGAGGCCUGCCGCUUCCAGAUUGGCCCGCGUCCUAUCAGCUAGUUGGCGGGGUAACGGCCCACCAAGGCGACGACGGGUAGCUGGCCUGAGAGGACGACCAGCCACACUGGAACUGAGACACGGUCCAGACACCUACGGGUAGCAGCAGGCGAGAAUCUUUCACAAUGGGGGAAACCCUGAUGGAGCGACGACGCGUGGAGGAUGACGGUCUUCGGAUUGUAAACUCCUGUCAUGAAAGAACAAGCGAUGCGGGUGAACAGCCCGCAAAGUUGAUAGUAUUUCAAGAGGAAGGGACGGCUAACUUCGUGCCAGCCGCCGCGGUAACAC